rnacentral:rRNA from 1 species
UGCCCAUAAAGGUGAUUGGUAGGCUGUUGCUGACUAGUGUUUCUAGUAUGUGCAGCGCCACACCUUCAAUCCCACUUACACCUGUGCACCUUCUGUAAUAGAUCUAUGUGGAUACGGAGAUGUGAAAGUUUGCGCUCUCCUACUCUGUUGAAGCAGGCUCUACUACGUUUUUUUUUACACACACACACAAUAGUCAUUGAAUGUAUUUUUUUUAUUCUUAUGAUAAAAACAACUUUCAACAACGGAUGUCUUGGCUCUCGCAUCGAUGAAGAACGUAUCGAAAUACGAUAUGUAAAGUGAAUAGCAGAAUUCAUUGAAUCAUCUAAUCUUUGAACGCGCCUUGCGCUCUUUGGUAAUCAGAAGAGCAGGCCGGUUGGAGUGACACGAAUCUCUCAAAUGACAAUGAUUUUUAUUAUUUGUUGGGUUUGGACUUGGAAGUCUUGUCGGCGCAAGUCGACUCUUCUUAAAUGUAUUAGCUGGGGUUUAUAUGAGUUGGAGCCGUGGUGUGAUAAUUAUCCACGCCUUGAAUGUCCCUGUAUACUCUGCUUCAAAUCCUCUCGUAGAGACAAUAUUUGAAUCAUCUGACCUCAAGUCAGGUAGGACUACCCGCUGAACUUAAUCAACAAUGAGGGAAAAGAAAAA